GGGUCCUACGGGACGCAGCAGUGAGGAAUAUUGGUCAAUGGACGAAAGUCUGAACCAGCCAUGCCGCGUGCAGGAAGACAGCUCUAUGAGUUGUAAACUGCUUUUGUACAAGGGUAAACCUGAAUACGUGUAUUCAGCUGAAAGUACUGUACGAAUAAGGAUCGGCUAACUCCGUGCCAGCAGCCGCGGUAAUACGGAGGAUCCAGGCGUUAUCCGGAUUUAUUGGGUUUAAAGGGUGCGUAGGCGGAUUGAUAAGUUAGAGGUGAAAUGUCCGGGCUCAACUCGGGAACUGCCUCUAAUACUGU
rnacentral:rRNA from 1 species